GAGAAUAUUUCUAAUUAAACGAAUAGACGCUAACUGCCACUUGGUCACCUACAGAAUGAACCCACUAUUUCCUUGAAAUGAGACACUUAUCCCAUCGUUCUUGCUGCACUGUGAAUUUGGUCUGGAAGACUCUUUUCCUGUCUGAUCCCAUCCCUGGAAUUGACUCAAAAUGUUUACUUCUCACAGUCAUUUAGACUUUAGGGAACAGCUGGAUGCUGCAUGGUGCCAGAGCUGAUGGACAAGG